UACCAUGCAGUCGAGCGGUAGAGAGGAGCUUGCUUCUCUUGAGAGCGGCGGACGGGUGAGUAAUACCUGGGAAUCUGCCUGACAGUGGGGGAUAACGUUCGGAAACGGACGCUAAUACCGCGUACGUCCUACGGGAGAAAGCAGGGGAUCUUCGGACCUUGCGCUAUCAGAUGAGCCCAGGUCGGAUUAGCUAGUUGGUGAGGUAAUGGCUCACCAAGGCGACGAUCCGUAACUGGUCUGAGAGGAUGAUCAGUCACACUGGAACUGAGACACGGUCCAGACUCCUACGGGAGGCAGCAGUGGGGAAUAUUGGACAAUGGGCGCAAGCCUGAUCCAGCCAUGCCGCGUGUGUGAAGAAGGUCUUCGGAUUGUAAAGCACUUUAAGUUGGGAGGAAGGGUUGUUGCCUAAUACGUAACAAUUUUGACGUUACCGACAGAAUAAGCACCGGCUAACUCUGUGCCAGCAGCCGCGGUAAUACAGAGGGUGCAAGCGUUAAUCGGAAUUACUGGGCGUAAAGCGCGCGUAGGUGGUUCAGUAAGAUGGGUGUGAAAUCCCCGGGCUCAACCUGGGAACUGCUUUCAUAACUGCUGAACUAGAGUACGGUAGAGGGUAGUGGAAUUUCCUGUGUAGCGGUGAAAUGCGUAGAUAUAGGAAGGAACACCAGUGGCGAAGGCGACUACCUGGACUGAUACUGACACUGAGGUGCGAAAGCGUGGGGAGCAAACAGGAUUAGAUACCCUGGUAGAAUCACUAGUGAAUUC
rnacentral:rRNA from 1 species